GACGAACGCUGGCGGCGUGCUUAACACAUGCAAGUCGAACGGAAAGGUCCUGCUUUUGUGGGGUGCUCGAGUGGCGAACGGGUGAGUAACACGUGAGUAACCUGCCCUUGACUUUGGGAUAACUUCAUGAAACUGGGGCUAAUACCGGAUAGGAGCUCCUGCUGCAUGGUGGGGGUUGGAAAGUUUCGGCGGUUGGGGAUGGACUCGCGGCUUAUCAGCUUGUUGGUGGGGUAGUGGCUUACCAAGGCUUUGACGGGUAGCCGGCCUGAGAGGGUGACAGGACACGUUGGGACUGAGAUGCGGCCCAGACUCCUACGGGAGGCAGCAGUGGGGAAUAUUGCACAAUGGGCGGAAGCCUGAUGCAGCAACGCCGCGUGCGGGAUGACGGCCUUCGGGUUGUAAACCGCUUUCGCCUGUGACGAAGCGUGAGUGACGGUAAUGGGUAAAGAAGCACCGGCUAACUACGUG
rnacentral:rRNA from 1 species